CUUGAAACCAGACGUCCUCCCAACUAGCAGCCAGGCUGCCAGCUGAAACAAGUGUGACCAGGUUGGAGAAACAGGGAGAGACAGUCUUAGCCAACCUGAUUUCUUUCUCAGAAAAAAAUCACAGGAUACACCUACAGAGGCUUUGUGAUUUCAUCCAGUUCCCAUGUCACCUCCGAGAGCUGUUCUCAGAUGAUCAACAACCCACAGCUAAUAUUUACUAAGUGCUUGCUCUUGAUGUCGAGUGACUGGUGCUCAGUAGACACUGGUUUCCUCCCUUCCUUCCUGGCUGCUUUGAAGAGAAUAACAGAGGAGAUCACCAAAGCUUCCCAGACCGGAGUGAUUUUUUUAAAUACCAAAGAAGAG
rnacentral:lncRNA from 1 species